CUGAUGCAGCGACGCCGCGUGAGGGAUGACGGCCUUCGGGUUGUAAACCUCUUUCAGCAGGGACGAAGCGCAAGUGACGGUACCUGUAGAAGAAGGACCGGCCAACUACGUGCCAGCAGCCGCGGUAAUACGUAGGGUCCGAGCGUUGUCCGGAAUUACUGGGCGUAAAGAGCUCGUAGGUGGUUUGUCGCGUUGUUCGUGAAAACUCACAGCUUAACUGUGGGCGUGCGGGCGAUACGGGCAGACUUGAGUACUGCAGGGGAGACUGGAAUUCCUGGUGUAGCGGUGGAAUGCGCAGAUAUCAGGAGGAACACCGGUGGCGAAGGCGGGUCUCUGGGCAGUAACUGACGCUGAGGAGCGAAAGCGUGGGGAGCGAACAGGAUUAGAUACCCUGGUAGUCCACGCCGUAAACGGUGGGUACUAGGUGUGGGUUUCCUUCCUUGGGAUCCGUGCCGUAGCUAACGCAUUAAGUACCCCGCCUGGGGAGUACGGCCGCAAGGCUAAAACUCAAAGAAAUUGACGGGGGCCCGCACAAGCGGCGGAGCAUGUGGAUUAAUUCGAUGCAACGCGAAGAACCUUACCUGGGUUUGACAUGCACAGGACGUGCCUAGAGAUAGGUAUUCCCUUGUGG
rnacentral:rRNA from 1 species